UUUUCCCUCAUUUUCUCUAUCAUUCAAUCACCACCAAAUUUUUUUCUUUCUUUCUUCAGUCAAAAACCCCAAAAAAUUUUCCCCCACUUUUUCACCAUCCAAUCACCAUCAAAAUUUCUUAUUUUAUGAUAUCAUAUGCAUUAACGGAAAUAUCUUUUAUUGCCCAUUAUUAUAUUAUAUUGACAAUUAAAUAUCUUUUUAUCUUUAUUAUUAAAUUUAUAAACUUAAUAUUUGUAUUCUAAAAUAUUUAUUCCAAAAUCCAAAUAUAUUAUACCAAGUCUAAAC
rnacentral:lncRNA from 1 species